rnacentral:rRNA from 1 species
GCGUUGGGNGCUCUCCCAUAUGGUCGACCUGCAGGCGGCCGCGAAUUCACUAGUGAUUAGAGUUUGAUCCUGGCUCAGGAUGAACGCUAGCUACAGGCUUAACACAUGCAAGUCGAGGGGCAGCAUGAACUUAGCUUGCUAAGUUUGAUGGCGACCGGCGCACGGGUGAGUAACACGUAUCCAACCUGCCGAUGACUCGGGGAUAGCCUUUCGAAAGAAAGAUUAAUACCCGAUGGCAUAAUUCUUCCGCAUGGUAGAACUAUUAAAGAAUUUCGGUCAUCGAUGGGGAUGCGUUCCAUUAGGUUGUUGGCGGGGUAACGGCCCACCAAGCCUUCGAUGGAUAGGGGUUCUGAGAGGAAGGUCCCCCACAUUGGAACUGAGACACGGUCCAAACUCCUACGGGAGGCAGCAGUGAGGAAUAUUGGUCAAUGGACGAGAGUCUGAACCAGCCAAGUAGCGUGAAGGAUGACUGCCCUAUGGGUUGUAAACUUCUUUUAUACGGGAAUAAAGUGAGGCACGUGUGCCUUUUUGUAUGUACCGUAUGAAUAAGGAUCGGCUAACUCCGUGCCAGCAGCCGCGGUAAUACGGAGGAUCCGAGCGUUAUCCGGAUUUAUUGGGUUUAAAGGGAGCGUAGGCGGACGCUUAAGUCAGUUGUGAAAGUUUGCGGCUCAACCGUAAAAUUGCAGUUGAUACUGGGUGUCUUGAGUACAGUAGAGGCAGGCGGAAUUCGUGGUGUAGCGGUGAAAUGCUUAGAUAUCACGAAGAACUCCGAUUGCGAAGGCAGCUUGCUGGACUGUAACUGACGCUGAUGCUCGAAAGUGUGGGUAUCNNNAGGAUUAGAUACCCUGGUAGUCCACACAGUAAACGAUGAAUACUCGCUGUUUGCGAUAUACAGUAAGCGGCCAAGCGAAAGCGUUAAGUAUUCCACCUGGGGAGUACGCCGGCAACGGUGAAACUCAAAGGAAUUGACGGGGGCCCGCACAAGCGGAGGAACAUGUGGUUUAAUUCGAUGAUACGCGAG